rnacentral:rRNA from 1 species
AGGGUUUGAUUAUGGCUCAGAACGUACGCUGGCGGCACGCCUAACACAUGCAAGUCGAACGAAGUAGCAAUACUUAGUGGCAGACGGGUGAGUAACAUGUAGGUAUCUACCCUUUGGCCUGGAAUAACACGAGGAAACUUGUGCUAAUACCGGAUAAGUCUUUACGGAGAAAGCUUUAUGCACCAUUGGAUGAGCCUGCACUUGAUUAGUUUGUUGGUGGGGUAAUGGCCUACCAAGACUGUGAUCAAUAGCUGAUUUGAGAGGAUGAUCAGCCACAUUGGGACUGAGACACGGCCCAAACUCCUACGGGAGGCAGCAGUGGGGAAUCUUGCACAAUGGAGGAAACUCUGAUGCAGCGAUGCCGCGUGAGUGAAGAAGGCCUUUGGGUUGUAAAGCUCUUUCGUCGGGGAAGAAAAUGACUGUACCCGAAUAAGAAGGUCCGGCUAACUUCGUGCCAGCAGCCGCGGUAAUACGAAGGGACCUAGCGUAGUUCGGAAUUACUGGGCUUAAAGAGUUCGUAGGUGGUUGAAAAAGUUAGUGGUGAAAUCCCAGAGCUUAACUCUGGAACUGCCAUUAAAACUUUUCAGCUAGAGUAUGAUAGAGGAAAGCAGAAUUUCUAGUGUAGAGGUGAAAUUCGUAGAUAUUAGAAAGAAUACCAAUUGCGAAGGCAGCUUUCUGGAUCAUUACUGACACUGAGGAACGAAAGCAUGGGUAGCGAAGAGGAUUAGAUACCCUCGUAGUCCAUGCCGUAAACGAUGUGUGUUAGACGUUGGAAAUUUAUUUUCAGUGUCGCAGCGAAAGCGAUAAACACACCGCCUGGGGAGUACGACCGCAAGGUUAAAACUCAAAUGAAUUGACGGGGACCCGCACAAGUAGUGGAGCAUGUGGUUUAAUUCGAAGAUACGCGCAGAACCUUACCAACACUUGACAUGUUCGUCGUGACUCUAAGAGAUUAGAGUUUUCGGUUCGGCCGGACGAAACACAGGUGCUGCAUGGCUGUCGUCAGCUCGUGUCGUGAGAUGUUGGGUUAAGUCCCGCAACGAGCGCAACCCUCACUUUUAGUUGCCAUCAUUUAGUUGGGCACUCUGAAAGAACUGCCAGUGAUAAGCUGGAGGAAGGUGGGGAUGACGUCAAGUCCUCAUGGCCCUUACGUGUUGGGCUACACACGUGCUACAAUGGUAUCUACAACAGGAAGCAAGACUGCGAGGUCAAGCAAAUCCUUAAAAGAUACCUCAGUUCGGAUUGCACUCUGCAACUCGAGUGCAUGAAGCUGGAAUUACUAGUAAUCGUGGAUCAGCGUGCCACGGUGAAUGCGUUCCCGGGUCUUGUACACACCGCCCGUCACACCAUGGGAGUUGGUUCUACCUUAAGGCAAGGUUUAAAACCCUUGACCACGGUAUAGUCAGCGACUGGGGUGAAGUCGUAACAAGGUAGCCA